rnacentral:rRNA from 1 species
AUACAGAGGGUGCGAGCGUUAAUCGGAAUUACUGGGCGUAAAGCGCGCGUAGGCGGCUUGGUCAGUCGGAUGUGAAAGCCCCGGGCUCAACCUGGGAAUGGCAUUCGAUACUGCCAGGCUAGAGUAUGGGAGAGGGAAGUGGAAUUUCCGGUGUAGCGGUGAAAUGCGUAGAUAUCAGAAAGAACACCAGUGGCGAAGGCGACUACCUGGCCCAAUACUGACGCUGAGGUGCGAAAGCGUGGGGAGCGAACAGGAUUAGAAACCCUAGUAGUCC